ACAAUAGCACAAAGCUGCCCCAGGGAAGGGUCCUCUUCCAAGCUUGCUCAGUGGCUGUGGGCUGGAUUGAGCUCUUCACUAGCUACUGAACUGAGGGCCUCAGUUUCUCAGAGGCUGUUACCCAAAGGCCUCCCUCAGCUCCCUGCCAUAUGGGCCUCUCCACAGGGCAACUCACCAUAUGGUGGCUGGCUUCACCAGAGCAAGCAAACAAGAAGAGCCCGAGAGAAGACUAACAAGCUGGAAGUCACCAUCCGUCCAACCUAAUCUCGGAAGUGACAUCUCAUCACUCUUGCUGUAUUCUAUCAGGAGGAAGAAAUGAUGUCUUCCGGGGAGGCUGCCGGGGCUUCUGUGAGGUCCAGCAAUGAGUUGGAGGCACCAGCACUGCACUGAAAUCAAUGUCUCCCAAGACGGAGAAUGCCUGGGGAGGCAGGAGCUCCGCUCCCCUGCAGGAACCUCCCAAGAAGGACCCGAGCGUCCCCGCAGCCUGGAGACUGGCCGUCUGCGGUUGAGCACCCGGGACCUGCUCCAGGUGCUUCUUGGCCAUAUUUACUUCCCCGGCUCCGGGUGCGUCAGGCCGACUGCCCACGUGCAGCUGGGUUUCCUCUGUUUAGCUGCAUCCACAGGGGUCAUGUAUCCGUAUCGGUCUUUCUAAGGGGAGCUCUGUGGUUUUAUUCAUUCAUUCAUUCAUUCAUUCACCCACGCAUCUACUGAGCACCUACUACAUAUCAUGAACUGUCCUAGGCACUAAUGAAUAACACCAAACGUGCUCAUUGUAACAGUCUCUGAUGAUUGCUAAGAUCACGUGGAAGAAAGCAAAAACCGUCAGCCUCAUGGUCAUGUGAGCAAAGCCUGUGCCCUGACCCACCCACCGCCAGCCCCAUGAGCUCUGGCAACCCCAGGAUCUCACUGAGCCUCGGUUUCUGUAUCUGUAGAAUGGGGAUAAUGAUGGUGAGGGCCCAGGUUUGCAGACAGAAGGGACAUGCGGUAGGGCCCCAGGCCAGGUUUCUGCCCUCCCACCCCCUUCCCUUCAUGCCCAUUCUCUGGGAGAAAAAAAAAAAUGCUGUUUUAAAAUCACCAGGUAUUCUCCAAU
rnacentral:lncRNA from 1 species